GGUUCACGAGUACAUGGCACCA
rnacentral:snRNA from 1 species